rnacentral:rRNA from 1 species
UACGUAGGUGGCAAGCGUUGUCCGGAAUUAUUGGGCGUAAAGCGCGCGCAGGCGGUCCUUUAAGUCUGAUGUGAAAGCCCACGGCUCAACCGUGGAGGGUCAUUGGAAACUGGGGGACUUGAGUGCAGAAGAGGAAAGCGGAAUUCCACGUGUAGCGGUGAAAUGCGUAGAGAUGUGGAGGAACACCGGUGGCGAAGGCGGCAUCCUGGACCGGUAUUGACGCUGAGGCGCGAAAGCCAGGGGAGCAAACGGG